CCGUACUAGGUGGGGAGGUAGCGGUGCCCUGUACUCGCAAUCCGCUCUAGCGAGACUGAAUCCCUUUUAGAGGGUCGUAUGCUGUAGGGUCUGCCUUUUGUAAGUGGUGUUGACGUCUGGGUCCUGCGCAAUGGAAAUCCAUGAACCAUGUCAGGUCCGGAAGGAAGCAGCAUUAAGUGGAACCUUUCAUGUGCCGCAGGGUCGCCUGGGCUGAGCUAACUACAAAAGUAACGCUUAUGGCAGCGAUUCGACGGAAGGUGUACGG
rnacentral:SRP_RNA from 1 species